AUUAAACGCUGGCGGCAGGCCUAACACAUGCAAGUCGAGCGGAUGAAGGGAGCUUGCUCCUGGAUUCAGCUGCGGACGGGUGAGUAAUGCCUAGGAAUCUGCCUUGUAGUUGGGGAUAACGUCCGGAAACGGGCGCUAAUACCGCAUACGUCCUGAUGGAGAAAGUGGGGGAUCUUCGGACCUCACGCUAUCAGAUGAGCCUAGGUCGGAUUAGCUAGUUGGUGGGGUAAAGGCCUACCAAGGCGACGAUCCGUAACUGGUCUGAGAGGAUGAUCAGUCACACUGGAACUGAGACACGGUCCAGACUCCUACGGGAGGCAGCAGUGGGGAAUAUUGGACAAUGGGCGAAAGCCUGAUCCAGCCAUGCCGCGUGUGUGAAGAAGGUCUUCGGAUUGUAAAGCACUUUAAGUUGGGAGGAAGGGCAGUAAGUUAAUACCUUGCUGUUUUGACGUUACCAAAAGAAUAAGCACCGGCUAACUUCGUG
rnacentral:rRNA from 1 species